UGGGGAAUUUUGGACAAUGGGGGAAACCCUGAUCCAGCCAUCCCGCGUGUGCGAUGAAGGCCUUCGGGUUGUAAAGCACUUUUGGCAGGAAAGAAACGUCGCGGGUUAAUACCCCGCGAAACUGACGGUACCUGCAGAAUAAGCACCGGCUAACUGCGUGCCAGCAGCCGCGGUAAUACGUAGGGUGCAAGCGUUAAUCGGAAUUACUGGGCGUAAAGCGUGCGCAGGCGGUUCGGAAAGAAAGAUGUGAAAUCCCAGAGCUUAACUUUGGAACUGCAUUUUUAACUACCGGGCUAGAGUGUGUCAGAGGGAGGUGGAAUUCCGCGUGUAGCAGUGAAAUGCGUAGAUAUGCGGAGGAACACCGAUGGCGAAGGCAGCCUCCUGGGAUAACACUGACGCUCAUGCACGAAAGCGUGGGGAGCAAACAGGAUUAGAUACCCUGGUAGUCCACGCCCUAAACGAUGUCAACUAGCUGUUGGGGCCUUCGGGCCUUGGUAGCGCAGCUAACGCGUGAAGUUGACCGCCUGGGGAGUACGGUC
rnacentral:rRNA from 1 species